rnacentral:rRNA from 1 species
GAUGAACGCUGGCGGCGUGCCUAAUACAUGCAAGUCGAGCGAACGGACGAGAAGCUUGCUUCUCUGAUGUUAGCGGCGGACGGGUGAGUAACACGUGGAUAACCUACCUAUAAGACUGGGAUAACUUCGGGAAACCGGAGCUAAUACCGGAUAAUAUUUUGAACCGCAUGGUUCAAAAGUGAAAGACGGUCUUGCUGUCACUUAUAGAUGGAUCCGCGCUGCAUUAGCUAGUUGGUAAGGUAACGGCUUACCAAGGCAACGAUGCAUAGCCGACCUGAGAGGGUGAUCGGCCACACUGGAACUGAGACACGGUCCAGACUCCUACGGGAGGCAGCAGUAGGGAAUCUUCCGCAAUGGGCGAAAGCCUGACGGAGCAACGCCGCGUGAGUGAUGAAGGUCUUCGGAUCGUAAAACUCUGUUAUUAGGGAAGAACAUAUGUGUAAGUAACUGUGCACAUCUUGACGGUACCUAAUCAGAAAGCCACGGCUAACUACGUGCCAGCAGCCGCGGUAAUACGUAGGUGGCAAGCGUUAUCCGGAAUUAUUGGGCGUAAAGCGCGCGUAGGCGGUUUUUUAAGUCUGAUGUGAAAGCCCACGGCUCAACUGUGGAGGGUCAUUGGAAACUGGAAAACUUGAGUGCAGAAGAGGAAAGUGGAAUUCCAUGUGUAGCGGUGAAAUGCGCAGAGAUAUGGAGGAACACCAGUGGCGAAGGCGACUUUCUGGUCUGUAACUGACGCUGAUGUGCGAAAGCGUGGGGAUCGAACAGGAUUAGAUACCCUGGUAGUCCACGCCGUAAACGAUGAGUGCUAAGUGUUAGGGGGUUUCCGCCCCUUAGUGCUGCAGCUAACGCAUUAAGCACUCCGCCUGGGGAGUACGACCGCAAGGUUGAAACUCAAAGGAAUUGACGGGGACCCGCACAAGCGGUGGAGCAUGUGGUUUAAUUCGAAGCAACGCGAAGAACCUUACCAAAUCUUGACAUCCUUUGACAACUCUAGAGAUAGAGCCUUCCCCUUCGGGGGACAAAGUGACAGGUGGUGCAUGGUUGUCGUCAGCUCGUGUCGUGAGAUGUUGGGUUAAGUCCCGCAACGAGCGCAACCCUUAAGCUUAGUUGCCAUCAUUAAGUUGGGCACUCUAAGUUGACUGCCGGUGACAAACCGGAGGAAGGUGGGGAUGACGUCAAAUCAUCAUGCCCCUUAUGAUUUGGGCUACACACGUGCUACAAUGGACAAUACAAAGGGCAGCGAAACCGCGAGGUCAAGCAAAUCCCAUAAAGUUGUUCUCAGUUCGGAUUGUAGUCUGCAACUCGACUACAUGAAGCUGGAAUCGCUAGUAAUCGUAGAUCAGCAUGCUACGGUGAAUACGUUCCCGGGUCU